GGGAGGCUAAGAAAGUCGCUUAACAAUUGAAUCAAUCAAACUAAUAUUCAAAGGUAGUAUGUAAGAGAGAGCGGAAUAGAUGAAAUUGUAAACCCUCAACAACAUCCAUUCAUCUAUUGUUUUCGUUUGUCAAUUGAAUCAACUUUCUUUAUGCAUGUUAAUAUUUUUGUUCUCAAAUCCAAUUUAUUAAUUUUUAUUUUUCAAGUCUUAUUAUUUUAAUUCACGCG
rnacentral:lncRNA from 1 species